UACGUAGGGUGCGAGCGUUGUCCGGAUUUAUUGGGCGUAAAGGGCUCGUAGGCGGCUUGUCGCGUCGGGAGUGAAAGCCCGUUGCUUAACGGCGGGUUGGCUUUCGGUACGGGCAUGCUGGAGUGCGGCAGGGGAGACUGGAAUUCCUGGUGUAGCGGUGGAAUGCGCAGAUAUCAGGAGGAACAUCGGUGGCGAAGGCGGGUCUCUGGGCCGUUACUGACGCUGAGGAGCGAAAGCGUGGGGAGCGAACAGG
rnacentral:rRNA from 1 species